UACCCAGGUGUUCCCACUCCCUGAUCAGGACCAAAAAUAGAGCACUCACCAUGGGCUUUGGGCUCAGCUGGAUUUUCCUUGUGGCUCUUUUAAGAGGUGUCCAGUGUGAGGUGCACCUGGUGGAGUCUGGAGGAGGUUUAGUACAGCCUGGAGGGUCUCUGAGACUCUCCUGUGCAGCCUCUGGAUUCAACUUCAGUAGCUACUGGAUGAGCUGGGUCCGCCAGGCUCCAGGGAAAGGGUUUGAGUGGUUGGGUAUAAUUAGUACUGAUGCUGGUACCACAAACUAUGCAGACUCUGUAAAAGGCCGAUUCACCAUCUCCAGAGACAACGCCAAGAAUACGCUGUAUCUGCAAAUGAAGAGCUUGACAGCCAAGGACACGUCCAUGUAUUACUGUGAGCAGCAUAUGUGUGAGCGUCCCGCUUCCCCGUCCAAGGAGGAGCAACCACCCGAGCAGUCCAACCUGUCCGAGGAGCAGCAGCCGCAUGAGCCGUCUUCCUACGUCUGA